AUCAGGACAACAACAAGGUUCAGGCUCUCGUGUUGAUCUGUCUGUUGUUACCAUGACUGAACAUCAGGACAAUGAUGAGGUGACGUUACACUGCUCUGUGGUGCCAUAUGGAGACUGUAGACUCACAGUGAAGUGGCUGCUUCAAGAUCAAGAUGUGGAUAAAGAUCACAGAGAUAUAAAGACAUCACAGUCUUCCUGCUCUGCCUCUGUGACAUUUCUGACUUCUCUUUUUAGUUACACAACAAGGUUUGAGUUGUUUACUUGAGAAGUAAGAGAUGGUGCCAACGUGCAGACCUUCAGUCCUCAGACCUCAGGUGAGGACAAAAAUCCAGCAACAACAACACCAACAACACCAACAACACAAACAGAACAAGAGGACAACAAUAAAGGUAG